AUCUUUGCGCUUGGGGCAAUGACGCAGCUAAUGAGGUUCUAACCGAGGCGCGUCUAUUGCUGGUUGAAAACUAUUUCCAAACCCCCUCCUGGGCCUGGGUUCAGCCUUGUGCCCUUGAGAAUUUCUGGAAGGGAUUAGGGACU
rnacentral:snRNA from 1 species